GACAGAGGGUGCAAACGUUGUUCGGAAUUACUGGGCGUAAAGCGCGUGUAGGCGGCCCUGCAAGUCGGAUGUGAAAUCCCACGGCUCAACCGUGGAAGUGCAUUCGAAACUGCAGGGCUAGAGUCCUGGAGAGGAAGGUGGAAUGCUUGGUGUAGAGGUGAAAUUCGUAGAUAUCAAGCGGAACACCGGUGGCGGAAGGCGGCCUUCUGGACAG
rnacentral:rRNA from 1 species